UACGUAGGGUGCAAGCGUUGUCCGGAAUUAUUGGGCGUAAAGAGCUCGUAGGCGGUUUGUCGCGUCGGCUGUGAAAACCCGAGGCUCAACCUCGGCCUGCAGUCGAUACGGGCAAACUAGAGUGUGGUAGGGGAGACUGGAAUUCCUGGUGUAGCGGUGAAAUGCGCAGAUAUCAGGAGGAACACCGGUGGCGAAGGCGGGUCUCUGGGCAACAACUGACGCUGAGGAGCGAAAGCGUGGGGAGCGAACAGG
rnacentral:rRNA from 1 species